AGAGUUUGAUCCUGGCUCAGGACGAACGCUGGCGGCGUGCCUAAUACAUGCAAGUCGAGCGGACCGACGGGAGCUUGCUCCCUUAGGUCAGCGGCGGACGGGUGAGUAACACGUGGGUAACCUGCCUGUAAGACUGGGAUAACUCCGGGAAACCGGGGCUAAUACCGGAUGCUUGAUUGAACCGCAUGGCUCCAAUCAUAAAAGGUGGCUUUUAGCUACCACUUACAGAUGGACCCGCGGCGCAUUAGCUAGUUGGUGAGGUAACGGCUCACCAAGGCGACGAUGCGUAGCCGACCUGAGAGGGUGAUCGGCCACACUGGGACUGAGACACGGCCCAGACUCCCACGGGAGGCAGCAGUAGGGAAUCUUCCGCAAUGGACGAAAGUCUGACGGAGCAACGCCGCGUGAGUGAUGAAGGUUUUCGGAUCGUAAAACUCUGUUGUUAGGGAAGAACAAGUACCGUUCGAAUAGGGCGGUACCUUGACGGUACCUAACCAGAAAGCCACGGCUAACUACGUGCCAGCAGCCGCGGUAAUACGUAGGUGGCAAGCGUUGUCCGGAAUUAUUGGGCGUAAAGCGCGCGCAGGCGGUUUCUUAAGUCUGAUGUGAAAGCCCCCGGCUCAACCGGGGAGGGUCAUUGGAAACUGGGGAACUUGAGUGCAGAAGAGGAGAGUGGAAUUCCACGUGUAGCGGUGAAAUGCGUAGAGAUGUGGAGGAACACCAGUGGCGAAGGCGACUCUCUGGUCUGUAACUGACGCUGAGGCGCGAAAGCGUGGGGAGCGAACAGGAUUAGAUACCCUGGUAGUCCACGCCGUAAACGAUGAGUGCUAAGUGUUAGAGGGUUUCCGCCCUUUAGUGCUGCAGCAAACGCAUUAAGCACUCCGCCUGGGGAGUACGGUCGCAAGACUGAAACUCAAAGGAAUUGACGGGGGCCCGCACAAGCGGUGGAGCAUGUGGUUUAAUUCGAAGCAACGCGAAGAACCUUACCAGGUCUUGACAUCCUCUGACAACCCUAGAGAUAGGGCUUCCCCUUCGGGGGGCAGAGUGACAGGUGGUGCAUGGUUGUCGUCAGCUCGUGUCGUGAGAUGUUGGGUUAAGUCCCGCAACGAGCGCAACCCUUGAUCUUAGUUGCCAGCAUUCAGUUGGGCACUCUAAGGUGACUGCCGGUGACAAACCGGAGGAAGGUGGGGAUGACGUCAAAUCAUCAUGCCCCUUAUGACCUGGGCUACACACGUGCUACAAUGGGCAGAACAAAGGGCAGCGAAGCCGCGAGGCUAAGCCAAUCCCACAAAUCUGUUCUCAGUUCGGAUCGCAGUCUGCAACUCGACUGCGUGAAGCUGGAAUCGCUAGUAAUCGCGGAUCAGCAUGCCGCGGUGAAUACGUUCCCGGGCCUUGUACACACCGCCCGUCACACCACGAGAGUUUGUAACACCCGAAGUCGGUGAGGUAACCUUUUGGAGCCAGCCGCCGAAGGUGGGACAGAUGAUUGGGGUGAAGUCGUAACAAGGUAACC
rnacentral:rRNA from 1 species